rnacentral:misc_RNA from 1 species
GCGUGAUGAUGUUGAUGUCCUGUGGGAUGCAAAAGACCAAUUUCCUAGAGGGUUCAAAGCAGAGGUACUCUUUUCGGAUCCUAAUGCUGUUCCAUCUGUUGUCACUGAGGAAGUGCCAAGUGAGGAUGAGAAUGGGACUGAAGGUGCUUCACCUGAGGAGUUUUUCGAAGUCGAAGAGAUAUUCAGCAAUGCUGUUGAUGGGCAGGAUGGAAGGGGGGAAUCUGGAGCCCACAUUGUCAAGGAAAGUUUGCAGGAUGAUGAUAGUAUUGAAAUGAUCUGGAAAGAGGAGGUGGAACAUCAUGCAUUUCAAGAUUGUGCAUCAGACGAAGUAAAUCACAAGCAAGAAGGAAAGAUGGAUUCUAAUCGCUCUGCAUCAGAAAAAAAUAUUUUAGGAGAGAGAGACAACUCUAUACCCUCAAAGGUUAUAGUUUCCAAUGGUACUAGCAACAUGGAAUCAGAACAGGUAAUAUCUGGGGAUUGUGUUGCAUCAGAAAAUGGGGAACUAAAGCAAGAUAAAGAAGACACUCUGAGACAGAAGAAGUUAGAGAGGGAAGGUUCGCAUCAGAAGGUGAGUGCUGAUACUAGUAAACAAAAAAGUGACAAGACAACCUCAUCUCUAAAGAAACAGUCAUUUUCCAACGCUAAACCAGCUGCCGAUGGCGUUGGU